rnacentral:rRNA from 1 species
GAUGAACGCUAGCGGCAGGCUUAAUACAUGCAAGUCGAGGGGCAGCGGGAGUAGCAAUACUUGCCGGCGACCGGCGCACGGGUGCGUAACACGUAUGUAAUCUGCCCAUCACAGGAGGAUAGCCCGGAGAAAUUCGGAUUAAUACUCCAUAAUAGAAGAUAAAGCAUUUUAUUUCUUGAAAGUUCCGACGGUGAUGGAUGAACAUGCGACUGAUUAGUUUGUUGGUGAGGUAACUGCUCACCAAGGCGACGAUCAGUAGGGGGCGCGAGAGCGUGGCCCCCCACACGGGUACUGAGACACGGACCCGACUCCUACGGGAGGCAGCAGUAAGGAAUAUUGGUCAAUGGAGGGAACUCUGAACCAGCCAUGCCGCGUGAAGGAUGACGGCCCUCUGGGUUGUAAACUUCUUUUGGAUGGGGCGAAAAAACGGGNUUUANCCUGGACUGACGGUACCAUCAGAAUAAGCACCGGCUAACUCCGUGCCAGCAGCCGCGGU